CCAAAAUAGAAAAUGCAUCAUGAUCUUGCUCUUUGUUACACAUUCUGCUCUUUUACUGUUCCAAUUAAUAGUUUGUACCUGUUUAAACAUUCUUGUCUCUCAAUAAAUAUUGCAUAUCUUUUUGUAAUAAAUCGUAAAUCAUAUGUUUUUGUAUUACAUUUUGGGGAAUUGUAAUAAAACAGGGUUGUGCACAGUAUGUCCUACUGUGCACAACAACAAAUUUUCCAUAUUUUUAAUGCUUCUACCAAUAGAUAGACUUUGACUCAGACUGUUUAAUCUUGUUUGUUUCUUAGUUUCACAGUUCUUCUUCUUCAUGAAGUCAAAGCAUCAUCGAAACAACCUGGUGAGACCACUCACAUCCCAAAAGGGUGUCCUGUCCUUCCAUAUGACAUUGAAUAAGUCCAGGACACAGGAGUUUGACAUCGACAUUGAGCUCAUUUAUGACUCCGAUGCUUCUCUCUGUCAUGAAUCUUCUCCGUCAGAGGCCAGCAGCACCGAAAAAGGAGUUUGACAUCAAAAUUGAGCUCUCAUUAUGACUGGGGCACUACUGAACUGUUAUCAUGAUCUGGAUGAUGAAGAUGCCUUGCAAGUCCAAGAAGAUGCAAUCACUUCCCAUCAAAAAUCCCACACCUCUGAAAUGAAAAUUCUGUCAUUUACUCGUUUGUCACUCCAAACCCAUAAGACUUUUAUUCAUCUUCAAAACACAAAUGAACAUAUUUUAAAUGAAAUCCUUUGACAGUCCAUGCAACUAUACCACUUUGAUGC